AAUAGAUACCCAGGUAGUCCACCCCGUAAACGUUGGGAACUAGUUGUGGGGUCCUUUCCACGGAUUCCGUGACGCAGCUAACGCAUUAAGUUCCCCGCCUGGGGAGUACGGCCGCAAGGCUAAAACUCAAAGGAAUUGACGGGGACCCGCACAAGCGGCGGAGCAUGCGGAUUAAUUCGAUGCAACGCGAAGAACCUUACCAAGGCUUGACAUACACCAGAACACCCUAGAAAUAGGGGACUCUUUGGACACUGGUGAACAGGUGGUGCAUGGUUGUCGUCAGCUCGUGUCGUGAGAUGUUGGGUUAAGUCCCGCAACGAGCGCAACCCUCGUUCUAUGUUGCCAGCACGUAAUGGUGGGAACUCAUGGGAUACUGCCGGGGUCAACUCGGAGGAAGGUGGGGAUGACGUCAAAUCAUCAUGCCCCUUAUGUCUUGGGCUUCACGCAUGCUACAAUGGCCGGUACAAAGGGCUGCAAUACCGUGAGGUGGAGCGAAUCCCAAAAAGCCGGUCCCAGUUCGGAUUGAGGUCUGCAACUCGACCUCA
rnacentral:rRNA from 1 species